GGUGAAUCUGGCUAGACAGUCUGAAGGACUCUUUGCAAUGCUUAGCACAGUUCUUUGACUUAAUAAUUAUUUCCAAAUAAAAAGUUAAAAAAUUUCUUUCCUGACAUAAAUUGUAGGUUAGUCUCAUCUGUCAAUGGAAUAAGAAAUGAGCUACAUGGUGAAAAAGUCCAGUGUUAAAGCCUACAUCAAAAUGAUCUUCCCCUCCAUUGGAUCACUUAGUAUGAAUGAAGAAUUGAGGAAAAGGUUCUCGGAGAUGAAUGACAAGUGUCAAGGAGGCUGAUGACCCGAAUUUCCCUUGCUACUUUAUUCUACUAAGAUUGGGCAGAUGCCAUGUAACAGUCAUGGACAGAAUCAGCGAUGGACAAUUAUACCUUGGACAACAGAAAUGGGAAAGCUGGUGAUUGUUAUGAGAAGGCAUCUCACUUUCUAAGUGCUGACCCUAUGUAAUCAGACGGUGUCACUCCAAAGGAUACUGGCAUGGAAGGAUGACCACCCUGAGCAGGCUUCAGUGGGUCGACAAAUGUGAGUCAUCUGCUGUUUUCCUGCAUUCUUCAUUGACAUUUCAUCCCAGAAUGAGGGGGGCUUUAAUUUUUAGACUGGAUUAGCAAAAAUCAGUAAUUAAUACAUGAAGUACCAAAUAUGAAAUAUUACUCUACACAGAGGCAUUUCACACUUCAUUGAUUUCAUGAGCGGGCCAGAGGUGCCAGAACAAUAAUUAAUAUGUUUUAAGGGAAAGAUUAUUAUGCAAGGUCAGCAGAAUCUGAAGGAUUAACAAAGAAGAGAUUAAAAUAUAUUCUGAAACUAUUUCUUAAAUAUGGGUUUUAAUUGAGUUUUAAUUGAUAUUUGAAAAAAGACACAGAUUUUCUAUGAUAAUUUAGUAACAAUUCUUUAUCUGUCAGUGAAACAUGCUAUACAUGCAAACAUAAUGUAUACCAAUGUACUGGCCUUUUAGGAACAAUAUCAAAAGAAAAUGUUGCUGUGUAUGUGCUCAUCUAUUCUUGGGUAUAUGACAUACUUAUUUACAUUUCUGAAUUUUCACUGUAAUAGUAAAAUUUAAAGCCCUAGCAAAAUCACUUAGUAUUAUCUCAAAAUUUACCAGCCAAUAUGUAUUUUUCAAAAAAGAGUUUGAGUUCUCCAGGCUUGGGUCUAGGUCAUGGUGACAUGGCUAAAUGAACCAGGAAGGUGGGACUGUAAGUAAAUAUAGGAUGGCUGUGGAGCCUCCGUCCGGAAACUGGUGAAGAAGACUGAAACCAGUCAGCAUGCCAAGAAUACGUGCUCCUUCUGUAGCAAGACCAAGGUGAAAAGAUGGGCAGUUGGCAUCUGGCACUGUGGUUCCUGCAUGAAAAUGGUGGCUGGUGGAGCCUGACCUACCACACCACCUCUGCUGACAUGGUCAAGUCUGCCCUCAGAAGACUGA